rnacentral:rRNA from 1 species
AUUGAACGCUGGCGGCAGGCCUAACACAUGCAAGUCGAACGGUAACAGGAAACAGCUUGCUGUUUCGCUGACGAGUGGCGGACGGGUGAGUAAUGUCUGGGAAACUGCCUGAUGGAGGGGGAUAACUACUGGAAACGGUAGCUAAUACCGCAUAACGUCGCAAGACCAAAGAGGGGGACCUUCGGGCCUCUUGCCAUCGGAUGUGCCCAGAUGGGAUUAGCUAGUAGGUGGGGUAACGGCUCACCUAGGCGACGAUCCCUAGCUGGUCUGAGAGGAUGACCAGCCACACUGGAACUGAGACACGAUCCAGACUCCUACGGGAGGCAGCAGUGGGGAAUAUUGCACAAUGGGCGCAAGCCUGAUGCAGCCAUGCCGCGUGUAUGAAGAAGGCCUUCGGGUUGUAAAGUACUUUCAGCGGGGAGGAAGGGAGUAAAGUUAAUACCUUUGCUCAUUGACGUUACCCGCAGAAGAAGCACCGGCUAACUCCGUG